rnacentral:lncRNA from 1 species
AGCGUGAAGAAGAAAAAAAGGAAAAAAAAUGUUUAAAAAGCAUCUGUGCCCUGACCUGUUUUCUGCUAUGAUCUCCCUUUGGAGAUCAAAGCAGGAUUAAUAUGAUUCUUUACUGUUUGCCUUGCACAUCUCAAAGCUCUGGAGACUUAAGCAAUAAGUACGGAUGCAGCCCCAAAACACAGGGGAAACGGAGUUUGAAAGGGGUGAGUUAAUGGAGCAAAGGCUAACUAUGAAAAGUUAUUUGGGAUUUGGGAGACAAUACAGAAUUUAGAGUACUUUGUAUUUUUAAGCACAUUUGCUUUCUCUUUUCUCAGUUUCUGGGGCAAAGCUUUUGGAUAGUUGAUGAGGCCAGCAGCGAAUGUCAUAUUAAUGUCUCCAUAUUGACCUUCUAGCUCCUCUGGAAUGUUUUGCAGCUGCUAGUACACAUGAAAAGGGAAGGGAACCCUGCCUCAGGUUUUCACACCAAAGCAUUUUCACCUUAUAACCAGCAGUUACGGGUGCAUUUAAAAGAGGGGACAAUCUUUUAAAAUAACGAAAUUUUGUGCUUUUGUGUUUUCACCGUGUGUGGCAUUCCUGGAUGGUGGAACUCCUCAAGAGCGAGUAUUUCCACGGUCUUUUAGAAAUGCUUGUUCUUUUGUUGAGGAAAAAGGCAAGUCCCCGUAUUCCUGGUAUCUCAGAAAACGAAGGAAAAAAAUCAUUUUCCUUUUUAAUGCUUAGUGUAUAUACCUCUUGGAGGGGGAGAAAAAGCUCCCCUCCUCCAAACUAGACUGAAUUUUAGCCGCAUUACCUAGAAGAGGGCGCCCCAGAGAGUAGCUCAACGUAGUUUUACAGGGACUCAGUGCUGGGGAGAACCAGAUUGAGGAGAUUGGAACAGACACUCUCAGCCCGGGAUGUGGCCCCACAGUCUCCACUCUGGGUUUAUACUAUUCCACCCAAAACUCAAAUUUUCCGAAACUCUGCAUACCCAACCGCCACCCCCCCCCCCACACACACACACGAAGAGAUGCUCCCACCCCUGACAGAUUUUCAUCCACCUCAGCCCUGCUUUUCUCCUAUGGGCAACUCCUUCGUGUUCACUCUUCCCGAAUCCCUAGGUUAGCACUCGAAGACCAUGCCUUGCCUUUCACCGCGUCCUCCCCCCUUUCCCCUUCUGCCCCAGACGGGGCACCACUUUCCAAACCGGUCCAAGCUACGUGGCCAAAGUCCAAGAAGUCGCUCAAGGCGAAGACCCUACAAGACGGACACGCGCGAGAGGUCUCCAUGGCACCCGACACAGGGGGUCGGGAGUCUUUCUAGCGCGCACCCCUGCCCUGACACCCACAGGUGUUCCACCUCCUUUUGCGUAAGGUGCAAUACGCCAGUCCCGGGCGUAAUGGCGGGAAGCUUAGAAUAGGACACUUUUUCCCACUGAAGGGGUGCGGGGGAGGGGAGGCCCAGGACCAGCCCACGCCUUGGCUUGUGCGUCCCCGCGGCGCCGGACUCCCGCUGCCCCACCCCCACCCCCCAGCUCGUACCUGGAGGGGAGUUCACCGAGGAACUUUUGUGAAUUGCCUCAACUGGAAAAGCAGCCGUCCAAGUGAAGGUUUUUGUCCGGAACACAAUUCUCAGGGCCAAGGAUAAGGGGAAAGGAAUUUCUUUCAGUGCCUGAACACUCUACACUCACCUUCUAAUUGUUUUAAACACAACACAAGCAAAUUGGAGUUUCUGAGGCCGUUUCUUUGCUUUGUGUAGCGUCAUCUGAUGGUGUUGAGAAUUGCUUUCUCAUUAUCACGCUAGUUUAUUAACGGGGACAUUUUCGGUUGGAACAAGGAUUGUUCAGGAAUCCGUCUUUAGGCUGGUGGAGGGAGUUGCCCGAAAAUUCGACUGGAGAAGUUCGGAACAUCAGUACCAACUUAUUCUCCGCUUUUUUUUUUUUUUUUUUUUUUUUUUUUUUCUGAUUUUAUCCUGUUAUUGUUUCUGCAGUCCUGGUUUGGCCACCGGUUACCUAUCACUUAGAAACAUUCUUGUAGCUAAAAACGUAGUAGGUUAGAGACCCAUGACUCAGUUGAAAAGUGUUAAGUUUUAAAAUACUGUUGGGUGGGUUUUUUCCCCUUAAGUUUCAAGUACCAGCCGAAAUCACAAAUACAAUUAGUUACUGUUCUGAAAUUGUAAAUACAAUUAGUUGCUGUAUGUUAAAAGCCUUUAUAUUACUGAAAAUUUUCUAACUGCCAAUAUCUGACUUUGAAGAAAAAUUAGAGUUAGAACUCAAUAAAACUUAUUCAAUUGUUAAGAUAUAGUGGGUCCCCCACAAGUUUUAUAGUUUCUGUUAGGACAUUGCUAAUGUUUUUAUAUAUAUUUAAUGGCUUGAAUUUUUAAAUUUUUCACUUUUAAAAUGUCUAUUUUGGAUGUGAUCCCUUGAGUUCCUAUUAAUAUAUUAUCUUUUUAAGUGAGCAAAGAAUCUAAAAUUUAAGAAAAGGAAGCACAGACUUCAGUCUCUCUUUGUUUCAAAUCCUUUAAAGGUGCUGUGCACCUACUCUUUUGACUUGUACUUGCCGACUUAGAAACAAAACUUUAUAAGGAGAUUUGGAAAAUUAACUUGAAAGAAAGAAGGUGACUUUUAUCUAUUGCGGAGGAAGUAAGGGUGUUUGAAUCAGCUAAGACCUACAGGGUAAUUAAAUUACAUAGUGUCCUAAAAUAUAUAACAUAGAAAGAGAGCUUUAAAAAAAAAAAAAAGAUCCCAUCUAACAAUACAUAUAUGAAAACUAGUAGGAAGUCCAUAACCACCAUUGCUAGCAUUGCUUGGAAAUUAUAUUCAAUUCAAACUCUGCUAAAAGAGUUUAUUCCCCAUUGUAGUUUGGAAUUGUGUGAAGGGAUGUAUGUAUAGGAUCUAUGUAUAUAUAAUUCUUAUACUUUAUAUAUAUAUAUUUAGACGUACAUUCUUUUAAAAUGUUUAUGCAGUUAGUCACUUUUAGAACAUCAAAAUAAAUUGUACGUUGGCUUACACUAUCUCCCAGGUAUUCCCAAACACUGAUGAACAAAAGUCUGUAUAUUGGAAAUGAAGAGCUACCCAUUUAAACGAAAGAAUGGAAAGGGGAACUCGAUUUAUUCUCAUUUGUUUAUCGCUAGACGUUCCCCCCUCUCUGCAAAUUCAUUUGAAUAGCUUUCAAGCCGGAAAAUGGAAAUGUGGCUCCUGCCCUCUAUUUCAGCGGCAGCAGCAGCGUCCUGGCAACAGCGCAAUUUUCUAUCAUCAAGGAUAAAUGGCAUCGAACAGAACAUU